AUAUUAUUAAGUGGAGGAAAAGAAACCAAAAGGGAUUCCCCCMGUAGCGGCGAGCGAAAAGGGAUCAGCCCAAAGCCGAAUCCCGCGUUUUUAACGCCGGGAAAUGUGGCGUAUGGGAAAGUGGUCCAACAGCGUUCGAGGGCGGCUCAAGUUUCCAUGAACGGAGCUACCAAAGCGGGUGACAGUCCCGUACGGUCGCCUCUCGUGCUUUUAGGACUCUUUCCCGGGAGUCGGGUUGCUUGAAAGUGCAGCCCAAAGUGGGUGGUAUACUCCACCUAAGGCUAAAUAUUCCCGAGAGACCGAUAGCAAAAAAGUACCGUGAGGGAAAGUUGAAAAGAACUUUGAAGAGAGAGUUCAAUAGUACGUGAAACCGCUUAGAGGUAAACGGGUGGGCCUUCGAAGCCUGAAGGGCGCUUCAGUUGAGACUUSCUUUUCUUUUAGGAACAGCCGAACGAAACGACCUUCUUCGGCUSCCUUGAGGAACGAAAGUUUUGGCGCACUGCUACCUUCAGAGGCCGCGACUGGUUGGUCGACCGUUGGAAGGACCGCUCGGUGUCAAGGUAGCCCUCCGCUUAAUCGCGGUGGGUGUAAAAGACCCGGGCAGUAUGGCUGACGGUCGUGCCGACUCAGGACGAGAGAAACCUCGCACGACGUUCCCUCCGAAAGAGCGCRACCAGCRAKGGUUCGCGCAGGRAUUSCCAGGG
rnacentral:rRNA from 1 species